CUUGUGAUCUUUCGAGGGUUGUAGUUGACGUGUUUUGGUUUUAUAACUCAGUAAGAUCACAGGCC
rnacentral:pre_miRNA from 1 species